AGGGUUUGAUUCUGGCUCAGGAUGAACGCUAGCUACAGGCUUAACACAUGCAAGUCGAGGGGCAGCAUGACGAUAGCUUGCUAUUGUCGAUGGCGACCGGCGCACGGGUGAGUAACGCGUAUCCAACCUUCCCGUUGCUAGGGGAUAACCUUGCGAAAGUAAGACUAAUACCCUAUGAAGUUCUUCGCAGGCAUCUAAAGAGAACGAAAGAUUUAUCGGCAACGGAUGGGGAUGCGUCUGAUUAGGUUGUUGGCGGGGUAACGGCCCACCAAGCCCACGAUCAGUAGGGGUUCUGAGAGGAAGGUCCCCCACAUUGGAACUGAGACACGGUCCAA
rnacentral:rRNA from 1 species